GGCCUGCGCGCUACCUGCAGUCGACGGUAGCACAGAGAGCUUGCUCUCGGGUGACGAGUGGCGGACGGGUGAGUAAUGUCUGGGAAACUGCCUGAUGGAGGGGGAUAACUACUGGAAACGGUAGCUAAUACCGCAUAACGUCGCAAGACCAAAGAGGGGGACCUUCGGGCCUCUUGCCAUCAGAUGUGCCCAGAUGGGAUUAGCUAGUAGGUGGGGUAAUGGCUCACCUAGGCGACGAUCCCUAGCUGGUCUGAGAGGAUGACCAGCCACACUGGAACUGAGACACGGUCCAGACUCCUACGGGAGGCAGCAGUGGGGAAUAUUGCACAAUGGGCGCAAGCCUGAUGCAGCCAUGCCGCGUGUAUGAAGAAGGCCUUCGGGUUGUAAAGUACUUUCAGCGGGGAGGAAGGUGUUGUGGUUAAUAACCGCAGCAAUUGACGUUACCCGCAGAAGAAGCACCGGCUAACUCCGUGCCAGCAGCCGCGGUAAUACGGAGGGUGCAAGCGUUAAUCGGAAUUACUGGGCGUAAAGCGCACGCAGGCGGUCUGUCAAGUCGGAUGUGAAAUCCCCGGGCUCAACCUGGGAACUGCAUUCGAAACU
rnacentral:rRNA from 1 species